rnacentral:lncRNA from 1 species
GACUGUUUCCUCAUCUGAAAAAUAAGAAUACGCUACCCAUAUCAUGGUGUAUCUUCUAGGAUUAAAUGAGAAUAUAAAAUGUUAUGGCAACGGGAAGAGCUCAAUCAGUAACAGCCAUUACUAUUACUAUCAUUGAUUGAUUGAUUGACUGAUUGGAGACAGGGUCUCACCCUGUCACCACCCAAUCUAGAGAGCAGUGGUGCAAUCAUAGCUCAUUGCAGCUUCAAACUCCUGGGCCCAAAGGAUCUUCUUGCUUCAGUCUCCUGAGUAGCCAGGACCAUAGGUGUGCCCCACCAUGCCUGGCUAAUUUUUAAAACACUAUUUUGUAGAGAUGGGGUCUCGCUAUGUUGCCCAGGCUGGUCUCUAACUCCUGGCCUCUAGUGAUCCUCCUGCUUCUGCCUCCUUAAUUGCUGGGAUUACAGGCUGGGAUUAUACCAUGCCCACCCAUUAUUGCUAUUGUUAUUAUUGCAUCCUGAUCAAACUUGUCUGUAGAGGAGGGAAGGGACUGGAGAAAGAUCCCAUGUUCCCAAUAGGUGGCUGCUUGCCCACAUACA